UCUUGGUCAUUUAGAGGAAGUAAAAGUCGUAACAAGGUCUCCGUUGGUGAACCAGCGGAGGGAUCAUUACCGAGUUUACAACUCCCAAACCCAAUGUGAACGUUACCAAACUGUUGCCUCGGCGGGGUCACGCCCCGGGUGCGUCGCAGCCCCGGAACCAGGCGCCCGCCGGAGGAACCAACCAAACUCUUUCUGUAGUCCCCUCGCGGACGUUAUUUCUUACAGCUCUGAGCAAAAAUUCAAAAUGAAUCAAAACUUUCAACAACGGAUCUCUUGGUUCUGGCAUCGAUGAAGAACGCAGCGAAAUGCGAUAAGUAAUGUGAAUUGCAGAAUUCAGUGAAUCAUCGAAUCUUUGAACGCACAUUGCGCCCCUUGGUAUUCCGGGGGGCAUGCCUGUUCGAGCGUCAUUUCAACCCUCACGCGUAGCGUGGUCUUGGGCACUGCCGGCAACGGCUUGCCUUAAAAUCAGUGGCGGUGCCAUCGAGCUCUACGCGUAGUAAUAAACCCCUCGCGUGUGAGUCUCGGCGGUCGCUUGCCAGCAACCCCCAAUUUUUUAUGGUUGACCUCGAAUCAGGUAGGGAUACCCGCUGAACUUAAGCAUAUCAAUAAGCGGAGG
rnacentral:rRNA from 1 species